rnacentral:rRNA from 1 species
UGUGCUGGAAUUCGGCUUGUAGUCAUAUGCUUGUCUCAAAGAUUAAGCCAUGCAUGUCUAAGUAUAAGCAACUUGUACUGUGAAACUGCGAAUGGCUCAUUAAAUCAGUUAUCGUUUAUUUGAUAGUACCAGAACGAGGAACAAUUGGAGG